rnacentral:tRNA from 1 species
GCCGCCAUAGUUCAGUUGGUUAGAACGCUUGUUUGUGGAACAAGAGGUCCCCCGUUCAAGUCGGGGUGGCGGUACCA